rnacentral:rRNA from 1 species
AGAGAGAGACAUGCGCGCAUAUCAAUAAGCGGAGGAAAAGAAACUAACAAGGAUUCCCCUAGUAACGGCGAGUGAAGCGGGAAGAGCUCAAAUUUGAAAUCUUCAAGGUUUUACCUUGACGAAUUGUAGUUUAAAGAAGUGUUUUCGGUUAGAGGAGUAGUAAAAGUUCUUUGGAAUAGGACAUCAUAGAGGGUGAGAAUCCCGUAUUUGACUAUUCUUUCUAGCUUUGUGAUACACUUUCAAAGAGUCGGAUUGUUUGGGAAUGCAGUCCAAAAUGGGUGGUAAAUUUCAUCUAAAGCUAAAUAUUGGCGAGAGACCGACAGCGAACAAGUACCGUGAGGGAAAGAUGAAAAGAACUUUGAAAAGAGAGUUAAACAGUACGUGAAAUUGUCAAAAGGGAAGCGUUUGACACCAGUGUUGUUUUUCCGAAAAUCAAUUAAAAAUGGAUUCAUGCUAGGUAGUAUUGACUUCAUCGGCUUGCUGCUUAGUUUUGGGUUCUUUUUUGAUGCACUUUUCGGUUAACAAGUCAACAUCAAUUUCUUUUGCUGUAAAAGGGUAAGGGGAAGGUGGCUUUAGCUUCGGUUAAAGUGUUUAUAGCCUUUUACCUCUGCAGUCGGAGAGAUUGAGGUCUGCAGCGUAGAUCCUUCGGGGUUAGAUACAGUUUGUGCUAAGUUAUAGCUUUGUCAUAGACAACAUUGUUGACUAUGAUCAGUCAUGUAGCUUACUCGCAUGAUAGCUAUUUUACCUACGCUUAGGAUGUUGACAGCAGUAAGACUGU